rnacentral:rRNA from 1 species
GAGUUUGAUCAUGGCUCAGAUUGAACGCUGGCGGCAUGCCUAACACAUGCAAGUCGAGCGAAGAAGCCCCUUCGGGGGUGGAUUAGCGGCGGACGGGUGAGUAACACGUGGGUAACCUACCUCAAAGAGGGGGAUAGCCUCCCGAAAGGGAGAUUAAUACCGCAUAAAAGGUGAAUACCGCAUGGUAAAUACCUUAAAGGAGAAAUCCGCUUUGAGAUGGGCCCGCGGCGCAUUAGCUAGUUGGAGGGAUAAAAGCCCCCCAAGGCGACGAUGCGUAGCCGACCUGAGAGGGUGAACGGCCACAUUGGAACUGAGAUACGGUCCAGACUCCUACGGGAGGCAGCAGUGGGGAAUAUGCACAAUGGGCAAAGCCUGAUGCAGCAACGCCGCGUGAGUG